rnacentral:rRNA from 1 species
AAAGAUUAAGCCAUGCAUGUCUAAGUAUAAGCAAUUUAUACAGUGAAACUGCGAAUGGCUCAUUAAAUCAGUUAUCGUUUAUUUGAUAGUACCUUACUACUUGGAUAACCGUGGUAAUUCUAGAGCUAAUACAUGCUUAAAAUCCCGACUGUUUGGAAGGGAUGUAUUUAUUAGAUAAAAAAUCAAUGCCUUCGGGCUCUUUGAUGAUUCAUAAUAACUUUUCGAAUCGCAUGGCCUUGUGCUGGCGAUGGUUCAUUCAAAUUUCUGCCCUAUCAACUUUCGAUGGAGGAUAGUGGCCUACCAUGGUUUCAACGGGUAACGGGGAAUAAGGGUUCGAUUCCGGAGAGGGAGCCUGAGAAACGGCUACCACAUCCAAGGAAGGCAGCAGGCGCGCAAAUUACCCAAUCCCGACACGGGGAGGUAGUGACAAUAAAUAACGAUACAGGGCCCUUUUGGGUCUUGUAAUUGGAAUGAGUACAAUGUAAAUACCUUAACGAGGAACAAUUGGAGGGCAAGUCUGGUGCCAGCAGCCGCGGUAAUUCCAGCUCCAAAAGCGUAUAUUAAGUUGUUGCAGUUAAAAAGCUCGUAGUUGAACCUUGGGCUUGGCUGGCCGGUCCAUCUUUUUGAUGCGUACUGGACCCAGCCGAGCCUUUCCUUCUGGGUAGCCAUUUAUGGCGAACCAGGACUUUUACUUUGAA